rnacentral:ribozyme from 13 species
AGAAACCAAUUAAUGUGAAAACCACAAGGGAGUGGAUGUCAGAAGAAUUUAAGUUGGAGGAAGGUAAUUUUUCUUUUUCUUUUUCUUUUUUUCUCAUUUUUUUUCCCUUCCUUUCCCUCUCUCU